AACAGGAUUAGAUACCCUGGUAGUCCAUGCCGUAAACGAUGAGUGCUAGGUGUUGGAGGGUUUCCGCCCUUCAGUGCCGGAGCUAACGCAUUAAGCACUCCGCCUGGGGAGUACGACCGCAAGGUUGAAACUCAAGGAAUUGACGGGGGCCCGCACAAGCGGUGGAGCAUGUGGUUUAAUUCGAAGCUACGCGAAGAACCUUACCAGGUCUUGACAUCUUGCGCCAACCCUAGAGAUAGGGCGUUUCCUUCGGGAACGCAAUGACAGGUGGUGCAUGGUCGUCGUCAGCUCGUGUCGUGAGAUGUUGGGUUAAGUCCCGCAACGAGCGCAACCCUUGUUACUAGUUGCCAGCAUUAAGUUGGGCACUCUAGUGAGACUGCCGGUGACAAACCGGAGGAAGGUGGGGACGACGUCAGAUCAUCAUGCCCCUUAUGACCUGGGCUACACACGUGCUACAAUGGACGGUACAACGAGUCGCGAACUCGCGAGGGCAAGCAAAUCUCUUAAAACCGUUCUCAGUUCGGACUGCAGGCUGCAACUCGCCUGCACGAAGUCGGAAUCGCUAGUAAUCGCGGAUCAGCAUGCCGCGGUGAAUACGUUCCCGGGCCUUGUACACACCGCCCGUCUCACCAUGAGAGUUUGUAACACCCAAAGUCGGUGGGGUAACCUUUUAGGAGCCAGCCGCCUAAGGUGGGACAGGUGAUUAGGGUGAAGUCGUAACAAGGUAACC
rnacentral:rRNA from 1 species